ACAUGCAUGUUGGAAAGGAAAAUUAGUCAUUCAGGUUGCUGAGGCCACUUUUAAUACAAAGCUUGGGCUAUAAACUAGAAGCAUAACUGCAUUUAUCCUACUAAGCUUCACUCUAGGAAAGUUCUUGCUCCCAACAUGGAGAGGUUUUGAUGGAACAUAACUCUGGGUAUUAACAGUGUCAGUCUUUGGAAUCACAUGCAGUAGUGCCUAAAAACUUGACAGCAGAUGGAAAAGCCUUUGGAUGAAUGUGUGAGAAGGAAACUAUCCUAACCAGCCAAUCUGCACAAAAUACUGACAUUUUUCCUGGCCAUGCCUUUGCUCAUAGUGUCCAUGGUCAUUUGGGAGAGAGAGCACCAAAUAAUCUGAAUACCAACGGAAAUGGACACAGGAGACACCAGAGAAAUGGAGUCCAAAUCACACAGGAUGUUAAUAAGCAUUUGAUGGACGAAUAGGAUUCUUAAGCUAACCAGUCUUAAGAACCAUUGUGUGGUGUCCUGGAAAGUGCAAUGGACAAAGGACCCUCAAAUCUGGAUUCUAAUCCUGGAUCUGCCAUCCUGGAUGCUUGGAAAACAAUAGUCUCUAAGCCUUGGUAAAAAGCAGAGAGCAAUCCUUUGGUGAAAGCUGUCAUGAGGAUUAAAUGAGACCAUAUAGAUGAAAGCUUCUUGUAAGGAGAGGGUAUCUAAGACUGUUAAUUUUUGCAUUCCAUGUGAACACUACAUUUCAGAAAAUAAAAACAGUAUACUUGUGGUUUUGA